GGUAGCCAAGGAUGACUUGCCUGUUUCUUUGAGUAAAAUGGUUAUGUCAUAUUUGACAAGUGACUAUAAGUUAUAACAAGUAAUGACCAUUUCGCUCAUCAAAAGAUAUCAGGCAGUCUCCUUGGCUAUCC
rnacentral:pre_miRNA from 1 species